AGAAAAAAACAAGAUUUAAAAAAUGAAGUUAAUUUAGAAGCAAAACAAGACAAAAAUAAAAUUGAAGAUAAAUUGAAACCCAAAACGUGCUUUAAACCAGUUUGGGGUGAAAAAAUAAAUUAAGCUGGUUGUUUUUAAAACGCCAGAUUAAGUCUGCUUCAAGCAGAAGAAAAUACGAAGAAACAAAGAUUUUAUUUAAAAAGAUGAAGUGAUUUUUAGAAAAGAAAAUAUUAAGAAACACAAGGUUUGGGAAGAUUUUCAAGACAGGAGACUGAGAAGAGAGAAGGUUGUGGUUUGUUUUUUUUGGUAAUAUUAGAAGGCAGAAGGUAACUUAGAAGAGGACCCAGGAAGAGAGAAGGGGAGUUGCAUUUUAAAGAUGAGCAAAAUAUAUCUAUCUAUAGUAGAUGGGUAACUGUGCCCUGACAGAUUAGUUAAAAAAUGUGAAGACAGGAGGGUGAAAAAGACUUACGUUGAUACUUGUAAAAUCUAAGGAGUAAUAUUUGCUGAAGAAUUUAAUCUGUUAAUGCAGACUAGCUCAGUUUUUGUCAUAAAAAUCAAAAUGAUAAAUUCGUAACAUACUAUAACUAUUAAUUCAAAGGACUUUGUGUAUGAAAAUUAUUUCAAGAUCAAGAAUAAUCUUUAAAAGAUGUAUAUUUUGUGUUGGACCAAGUGGAAAAAAUGUGUCUUGGGCUAAAACGUUUAAAAAAAAAAAUAGCUGACAAAGGAGUAGAAUAAAACCAGCCAUUUUACAUCUGAUGCAUUGACCAAGGCGGAAUGUGGAUUCAGUGGAGCUAGAAAGACAGGAUUUCAAGGAGCCAGUGCAAAUUGGUGAAGUUAGAGGGGAAAAAAGAGCCAGUGCAAAUUGGUGAAACUAGAGGAAAAAGAACCACGGAAAACAAGAUCAAGCAAGAAAUUUUUGAAAGAAUAGAUUAGAGGCUUCUAGAUCAAGAUUCCUUUGUGAAAGGCAGAAGUGGAAAAAUGAGUGAAGACAGCAAUAAUUUAACCUGUAGUUGGUAACCUACUUUCUCCUUGAUUUCUUUAAAACACUAUUUUCUUUGCUAUACUCUUUAUUAAUAGUAAUUUGUAAAAGUGUCUGUUGUUAUGAGAGGGGGUUUGUUGGAGUGGGUCAAGUCGUGGUGUGUCGUAGGUUUUUCUCUUUGCAGGCUUAUUUACUCAUUGCAUCUUGUCUGGAAGCUAAUGGGCAGUCUGCCAAGGCCUGGAGAGUGUGGUCAUCUUCCCGAGUGUUUAGAAAACUGCUGGAAUUUUCCUUUCGGCUUUAGGAGUGAGUUGUAGCUAGCGUCUAUAUUGCUGUAACCCUACCCAAAUUGGGGAAGUCGUGAGCCUGGUGGAGCGACAAGCAUCUCUGGUGACAGUGAAGUGUAAGCAAAUCGCAUAUAAUUUUUUUAAACGAUUAUUGCCAAACAGAACAACAAACUUGUUUGUUCACGUCUUAAAAUAUUGUAGGUAAUGUAUAUUAUUCCCCAUGUUUCCUUGCUGUUCCUAGCAAGAGAAAAUAAAUGUAUUUUUGUCAUGCAUUCUAUUGGGAAGGGAAAAGGCUCUUGCUAGUCUUGCUCAAAGUGUAUUUUUUUCCUUGAGGGAGGGGAAGGGGACCAGAAACUUCUUCAGUGUUUUUCCCCCCUAGGUGUGUCUAGGUCGUAGAGCCAGACGACUGGAGAGGUUACAAUGUAAAGGAUAAAAGAGAACCAGUAAUCAGGAUAAAGCCUCUAUUGUAUUGAUGAUGGCAGUGGUUUAGAAAUGUGACUGACCGGUAUUGCAGCUGUAGAUAUCAAUUGAAGGGUGUGAAGAAACUGGCCAGACAGAGGGAAAUGCAAGUUAAUUAUAUUCUAUUUUUAUAAGUUUGGAUUCUUCAUAAAGUAAUUUACACUUUUAAUUAUCAAACUAUAAAGAUACUUUUUUUUUUUGGGAGAGGGAAACAUUUUUGUGUAUGUUGAAAAGGGUGGUGGUGGGUAGGGGUAAAAACAAGCUUGUUUCUAGACUCUUUGCAGAUACUAUAGUUCCUAUUGGCUUGGUUAGAAGUGUGGUGGUUCUGUCUACUGUGCUGUUGGGAGAACAUUCCCCAGAGUCGGAGCAGCUUUUGCCUUGGAAGAAAGGACAGUUUACCUAAAAUGGAGUUGGAAAGUUGGAUUGGAGCUUGUAUUCAGGAUUCAUGGUCGUUCUUAAAUUCGCCUUAGAGGAUGACUGAAGAGCUUGGCUAGUCCAGAACUUGAAAGUUAAGUUUUCUCUAGUAAACAAACAAAACAGACAAUCUUUGAUACAGUAUGUGUGUUGGGGUGGAAUUUUAGGUGCAGUUUUAUAUGACUUGACAUAUUUGCGGGGGUGGGGCAACAUAAUCGUCUAUAUGUUCUUCAGAUUCUCUCCCUAAACUGCAGAAACAUCCAUAACUUAGGACUGAAAAAAAGAAUGUUCCGCUUCAAUUGUGGCAAGUAAUUCUCAUAACGUAACUUUAAAUUGUUCUUGAGGAGGUGCCCCAUUGAGUAAUCGGGAAUGUUUACACAGAGCUCAUAUGCAUGUGUAUAUACUUAAAGCACACAAUGCUAGAAAAAGAAUAGACAAGGUUAAAACUGUAACCCAGACUAACACAAAGUAGCUUGUUUAAUUUUUUUUUUCCCCUGUAGCAUAAAACUUACUGAAAAUACUCUCUCAGAAGUGGAAAGCUUCCACUAGUCCAAAUUAAUAUGGACUACAGAUAAAACACACAUUCAAAUCCUUCUGUAACUAUUAGGGUUGUGGUGUCUAGACGCAUAUUUUGGUGCAUAUCUGUAUUUGGGGGAAUCGGUUUGAAACCUUGGAUAUGGUGGUGUGUGGCUUUUUCUUUUUUUGGCAUUUUUUUCCAGGUGCUUAAUGUAACUUAAUGCUACUGUAGAGACUUCAGAGAGAAAGAAGUUGCUUAAUGACCCUGGUGUGAUUCCUUCUGAUGGUAGCUUGUGUAUUUUUCAAACAUUUUUCAGAUCCGCCAUCAGAAUCAUAGCCCCAACGAGCCCUGAGGAAAAUAUGGCCUCAUAAAUGCAGAGGGAACAGCUUGGCGAAUGAUAAGUAAAGGCAGAAAAGAUUCUAAUGUUCCUUACUACUUGAUGGAAAAGGAUCCCAGAUGUUAACAAGUGAAAAUCCAAUGUGUCAACGGAAAAAAAAAAGCCAUAAGCAAUGAAACCUAAAAAUUUGAAGUAAUAAGCAUUGACUAUCAAAUAUCUGAUCAGAAUAUUUGCUCUAAGAAAUCUCAAAAUUAUAUGCAGUAAAGAGCAAAUGUCCUCCUUGAAAUACUUGAUUUCAUUAACGCAGUGAACAACUACUUCCACAUCAUUGCAAUUAAAUUGAAAGAAAAUACCGGCAGAAAAAAAUGCAUAUGCAAAUACAUAUGGCUUCUACCAAACUAUUUGGUAUGAAUAUUACUACCUAAAUCUUAUGGAUUUGAAGAAAGAAUAUGAAUUAUUUUGAAACCACAAUCUAAUUUGGGAUCAACUUUCACUACUGUUGGAUUUGAGAGGAGGCUUGUGCUGUGUUCCACUGUUUACCUGAGAGAGGUUUUCUGCACUAUUAAUGAGGAGUUUUGCUUCAUUUCAUCUGGGAGCUGAAAAAAACAAGCAGGCAUCUAUUACAGAUAAGUUUAUCAAUUAUAUCAGCAGAUAUUGCAUGUUAGGGAAAUGUACUUUUUAAAUGCUAUGAAGCAGUGGAAGCCUUUAAACAUCUGAACUGGCAUUUCCCAUUCCCAGCUUUUAGCAGUGUGUGGAAUGGGAAUAAGGGACUUAACCUACCCCUGUGCCUGUUCAGGGCUGCACUUCCACUUUCUAAAUCCCUUUCUCCUCUGUGCACAGGCCACAGUUGGAUUUGCCCAUCACCUACAGGCAGACAAGCAUAGCAGCUAUGCUGUGGUGCUUAGGAGCAAACAUGCAACGUAUAUCCUCCUUUGGAGGCUGAGCCUACUCUAGGCCUACAGUUUGAGAGCCUGAAAUGCUAUACCAAACAGCACAUUAUGCUGCCAAAAAACACCUUAUUUUUCUGCUAUUUUGUAGCAUUAAAAUAUAUGCAGAAAACAUGGGAUUUUUAAAAAAAAGCUAUAAAGGCACUUUGUUAAUAAAGUUACUGAUGUGCUCUAAGAAUAGACAGUUUGUCUUCAUUUUUAUUAAUAAAAAUGUGCUGUCAGUGUUCUUUGUGUGGUUAGCUCUGGGGCAGUGUGUUGGGGGGGAUUCUUCUUUAAUCUUUCAGAAUCUUUCUCCAAGAACACCUGAUCUUAAUUGGACGGGAGCAGGAAUUGAACAGAAGACUGAAAUACUUUUUUUAUUCAGGCAGGAAAAUCUUUGCAGAAUCUUUCCCUUCCCCCUCUCUCCACCCCUCUCCAUCGAGACAAAUGUAGAUCAAGGUACUUGGCAAUAGAAGUCCUGUAAUUAAGGAAAGUAUCUGCCCAAGGAAUGAUUUCUAAAAUGCUUUAAACUAGACCAGUGGGGGCAAAACUUACCAAUUGGAGUAAGUUCAUAACAAGUAAAAUUUUGGCAAUAAGACUUGCUCUGUCUUCAGAGCUAAAGUCCUGUUAAAAUUAAAACUGACUUAUAGUUGGGAAAACUUAACUGCACAAUAAUUUGUUAAAUUUAACACUAGUCAGUUUGCAUAUUUAGAAAUUUGCAUGCUAACAAUGCUUGCAACCAUUUCCUUCAGUGCUAGUGACGUCUCAUUUUCUACUUCCAAUUAACAUUAGUGGGGGAAAUGAGCAAUUUUUUUUUAAAUGUCUUUCUUUAUAGAAGCUUCAUUUCAUAAUGUAUAGACCCUGAUCCAUCCCUUCAUGAAGCUGUUCAGGAUGAUUUUGCUUGACAUGCCUUGGCGCUUUCUUCUGUUCCCCACACCUUGUGUGUGUAUGUGAAGGCCCCUGCAGUGAGUUAAACCAAUGUAUCUUCAAACAUUAACAGCAUUUUUUUUUUUAAUAUCUGGACUGUGGCAGGGGUAGGGUGGGAGGGGCUCACAACUUGUUCUAGCUUUUCUUUUUACAGACUUCGCAGAGAAUGCAGUGUCUGAAGCAGGUCUGGUCUGUUGGCAAGUAAUGUGCAGUAUGCUUGAUCUGCUUGGGUAGACCAUUUGAAUCGAUUGAAAUACCUGUCCCAAAGCUUUUGUCCAUGUGUGAAGUAGUGAUUGUUUGAAAGAAAAAAAUACAGCUGAAUGACACAAGUGCCUGUGUAUUGAAAGGAGCUCUUUACCCUUCGAGUAAAAUUCCCUGCAGCUUUAAGCAGUCGGUGUAUGUGACUGAGAUCCAAGUUCCUUUGGCUGUGCUGCUUUAUUUAGGUAACUGCUUUUUGUUGUUCCCUUUCUGAAGUGGGUGGGGGUAGGGGGAGGGGGUACUGAAGCCUUUAGUCUCUUCCAGAUACAUCUAAAACAUCUCAUUGACAAGAAAUAAAAGCUUCCAAACAAGCAACAAUCCUCCAGGAAACUAACUGGCAAGUGACAUUUUAAAUUCCACCAGUUUAGUGACCAUUUUCGGUACCUUGCUUUUUGUAUGGGUCUCUUCCUUUCUUGGUUUUUUAACAGUUCUUUCAAGAAAAUACCAAACAAGCCAGUUCUUCAUGAUGGGCCACAGAAGCCAACCCAGUAAGAAUAGUUCUUAAUUUACUUUAGAACAAAAAAUUUAAUUCAUUUUCAUGGAGUUUACUGGGAAUUUGGGGGGAAAGGGGGGUGCAACCUAGUUUUAAGAUUACUUUUCACAGACCUGUAGAAGGAGCAGCCAGACCCAAUGAAUUGAAAAUACCACAGUGGACAAAAAGCAAACAGGUGAAUAAACUUUUCUGUAUUUACCAUAAAGAUAAAAAGAUUCAAAAAAAUUGGAAUCUCCUCCCCACCCCACCCACAAUAAAAAAAAAAAAAGGGGGG